rnacentral:rRNA from 1 species
UGGGGAAUUUUGGACAAUGGGCGAAAGCCUGAUCCAGCAAUGCCGCGUGUGUGAAGAAGGCCUUCGGGUUGUAAAGCACUUUUGUCCGGAAAGAAAUCCUUGGCUCUAAUACAGUCGGGGGAUGACGGUACCGGAAGAAUAAGCACCGGCUAACUACGUGCCAGCAGCCGCGGUAAUACGUAGGGUGCAAGCGUUAAUCGGAAUUACUGGGCGUAAAGCGUGCGCAGGCGGUUUGCUAAGACCGAUGUGAAAUCCCCGGGCUCAACCUGGGAACUGCAUUGGUGACUGGCAGGCUAGAGUAUGGCAGAGGGGGGUAGAAUUCCACGUGUAGCAGUGAAAUGCGUAGAGAUGUGGAGGAAUACCGAUGGCGAAGGCAGCCCCCUGGGCAAUACUGCGCUCAUGCACGAAAGCGUGGGGAGCAAACAGGAUUAGAUACCCUGGUAGUCCACGCCCUAAACGAUGUCAACUAGUUGUUGGGGAUUC